UAGGGAAUCUUCCGCAAUGGACGAAAGUCUGACGGAGCAACGCCGCGUGAGUGAAGAAGGCUUUCGGUUCGUAAAACUCUGUUGUUAGGGAAGAAAAAAUGUAUAGUAACUAUAUACAAAAGAGACGGUACCUAACCAGAAAGCCACGGCUAACUACGUGCCAGCAGCCGCGGUAAUACGUAGGUGGCAAGCGUUGUCCGGAAUUAUUGGGCGUAAAGCGCGCGCAGGUGGUUUAGAAAGUCUGAUGUGAAAGCCCACGGCUCAACCGUGGAGGGUCAUUGGAAACUAAUAAACUGGAGUGCAGGAGAGAAAAGGGGAAUUCCUAGUGUAGCGGUGAAAUGCGUAGAGAUUAGGAGGAACACCGGUGGCGAAAGCGGCUUUUUGGCCUGCAACUGACACUGAGGCGCGAAAGCGUGGGGAGCAAACAGG
rnacentral:rRNA from 1 species